rnacentral:lncRNA from 10 species
CUCAGUUUCAGAAUUGUUAUGGAACAGUGACUACUGUAUGCCCUCCAUUUUCCUGUUUGGAAUGAGACUAUCUAUAGGUUUCUCGUGCCUGUCCCACUAUUGUUUGCUUGGUGGGUGUGUCAGAUAUAACUUGUCUCUUUAGGUCACAGGUCUUCAGAUGGAGAGGAACCACACUUAAAGACUCACACCUGAAGAGCUUCAUCUGCACCUGGACCUGAUUUAGUUGACCAGAUCCUAGGCUUUGAGUUGGUGCUACAAUUUGAUGAGACUUUGGGAUCUCAGGACAGGGAAUGAGUGCAUUGGUUCAUGUGUCAGAAUAUAAAUAAUUCAUAGCCAAUAUGCUAGUUUUGGGUAUUUUUUCCCCAAAGGUCACACUUUCUUAUUUGAAAGUUGGGCAUCUUGUUCUCCUCAUCCAGAAUCUAGUCAAGGCUUGUGACUGCUCAGGUCACUAGGAUAGGGUGGGCAUAGUACUUUAUGCUUUCCAAGACUGGGUAACAAAAGGAAAGUAAAUUUCUGUUUAGUUUACUUGGAAAACUCACACGUGAAGCCUUGAACUGCUCUGUAGCAAAUCUGGCCAUCCUGAAACCACCAUGCUCCACAGAGAGACCACAUUCUAAUUUGCAGUCCUAGCACUGAUGCUAUCCUGGCCAGAGCACCAAAUGUGUGAACAAAGAAGCCUUCAGAUGAUUUCAGCUUUUAGCCUCAGUCAACUUCAGCCAUCAAAUAUUGCCAGAACAGAAAGGAAGACUGAGAAA